GUAACUUUAAGGAAUAAACUGUACUUAUUGGCUACACCAAAAACUCUGAAAAUUUUAUGGUAAGAAAACAUGUGAGUCUAGUUUCAAGUAAAAUUAGCUGAUCUUAAUUUGGAGUUCCGUAGCUCCAGAUAUAAAUAAUUUAGUAACUAUGACAUGCAAAAAUAGCUUGACUGGAACAUAAGUAAAAAUGCAAAUAGGAUUGUAUUACCUUGAGAAGCAAGUUGAUAAAUUGCUUAUUAUUUUCAUACGGUCUUACUAAGCUUUAAGCUUACUCCCUCCUCU
rnacentral:lncRNA from 1 species